UCAGGCCUAACACAUGCAAGUCGAGCGGUAGCGGGAAGAGCUUGCUCUUUGCCGACGAGCGGCGGACGGGUGCGUAACACGUAGGAAUCUGCCUGGUAGUGGGGGAUAGCCCGGAGAAAUCCGGAUUAAUACCGCAUACGCCUUACGAGGGAAAGGAGGGGACUCUUCGGAGCCUUUCGCUAUCAGAUGAGCCUGCGUCGGAUUAGCUUGUUGGUGGGGUAAAGGCCUACCAAGGCGACGAUCCGUAGCUGGUCUGAGAGGAUGAUCAGCCACACUGGGACUGAGACACGGCCCAGACUCCCACGGGAGGCAGCAGUGGGGAAUAUUGCACAAUGGGCGAAAGCCUGAUGCAGCCAUGCCGCGUGUGUGAAGAAGGCCCUAGGGUUGUAAAGCACUUUCAGUGGGGAGGAAAGGUUGAAGGUUAAUACCCUUCAGCUGUGACGUUACCCACAGAAGAAGCACCGGCUAACUCCGUGCCAGCAGCCGCGGUAAUACGGAGGGUGCGAGCGUUAAUCGGAAUUACUGGGCGUAAAGCGUGCGUAGGCGGCCACCUAAGUUGGAUGUGAAAGCCCCGGGCUCAACCUGGGAACUGCAUCCAAAACUGGGUGGCUUGAGUACGGGAGAGGAGUGUGGGAAUUUCCUGUGUAGCGGUAAAAUGCGUAGAUAUAGGAAGGAACACCAGUGGCGAAGGCGACACUCU
rnacentral:rRNA from 1 species